rnacentral:tRNA from 1 species
GCGGCUAUAGUUUAAUGGUAAAAUGUGUCCUUCCCAAGGAUAUGUUGAGGGUUCGAUUCCCUCUAGCCGCU